rnacentral:rRNA from 1 species
GACGAACGCUGGCGGCGUGCCUAAUACAUGCAAGUCGAACGAUGAAGCUUGGUGUUUGUCCCAUUUUGAAGUGCCGAGCACGGGUGUGUCACGUGUGUGACCUCUCCCUUAGAGCGGGGUAACUCAUUUGGACACGAAUGAUUAUACCGUAUAACAACUUUCUACAUAAGUUUUAAGUUUGAAAGACGCAAUUGCAUCACUCAAAGAUGAUCCCGCGUUGUAUUAGCUUGUUGGUGAGGUAAAGGCUCACCAAGGCGAGGAUACAUAGCCGACCUGAGAGGGUGAUCGGCCACACUGGGACUGAGACACGGCCCAAACUCCUUCGGGAGGCAGCAGUAGGGAAUCUUCGGCAAUGGACGGAAGUCUGACCGAGCAACGCCGCGUGAGUGAAGAAGGUUUUCGGAUCGUAAAUCUCUGUUGUUAGAGAAGAACGUUGGUGAGAGUGGAAAGCUCAGAAAGUGACGGUAACUACUCAGAAAGGGACGGCUAACUACGUG